GGACUACCGGGGUUUCUAAUCCUGUUCGCUCCCCAUGCUUUCGCUCCUCAGCGUCAGUUGCGGCCCAGAGACCUGCCUUCGCCAUCGGUGUUCCUCCUGAUAUCUGCGCAUUCCACCGCUACACCAGGAAUUCCAGUCUCCCCUACCGCACUCUAGUCUGCCCGUACCCGAUGCAAGCUCAAGGUUGAGCCUUGAGUUUUCACACCAGACGCGACAAACCGCCUACGAGCUCUUUACGCCCAAUAAUUCCGGACAACGCUUGCGCCCUACGUAUUACCGCGGCUGCUGACAC
rnacentral:misc_RNA from 1 species